UGAGUACAACGAAGACCAGCCAUUCUACAGUGCUUCAUCAAAGAAAAUCGAAGCAACAAGGUGUUCCACAGGUAUCAAGGGUAUGAAUAAAGCCCAGGUAUGCCAAGGGGGCAGCUGUAUAACCAGAAAUUGCAGACGGAAUUCCACCACACAGUUAUAUGAAAAAGAUUGUCAGUUCUUCCCGGAUAAAGUUCAAACAGAAAAGUCAUCUAUAAUGUUCAUGCAAAGUAUCGAUUCAGUAAGUAUGCCGGUCACUCUGUCGAGAACCUAUAAUCAAAGGAUUAGUUUUAGAUGAUGAUGAUGGAGAUGAAAGUGAGCAAAUUCACAUUGCUAGGCGAACACUCUACCUGAGAUACGACGGACCUUCAGCACGACACGAAGAGGAAAUACGCUAAUGUAGAGCUCUCUGAACACUGACUGACACCCAGCAAGGAGGCAUCCUCCAUUGUAAUAUAUUAUAUUAUUAUAUCCUUUAUUAUUAUUCUUAACACAACUGUGUACUAAUAGCUAGAUAAUUAUUGUUAGCUAUUAUAAUGAUAAUUCUACUUUAGUGAAUUAAGAGUACUAUACUUGAGCUUGCAUAUUCUCCUUUAGUUUUUUUAAAUAUGUUUUUAAUUAAAGUUGAACCCUCCUUCAGAUCACUCGUGUGCCCCCACCCUCAGCAGUCAUUUUUUCUUUGAUUACUAUUGUUACAUACAUUCAUGUUUAUGUGCACAAAU
rnacentral:lncRNA from 1 species